rnacentral:rRNA from 1 species
CCUACGGGAGGCAGCAGUGGGGAAUAUUGGACAAUGGGCGAAAGCCUGAUCCAGCAAUGCCGCGUGAGUGAUGAAGGCCUUCGGGUCGUAAAGCUCUUUUACCAGGGAUGAUAAUGACAGUACCUGGAGAAUAAGCUCCGGCUAACUCCGUGCCAGCAGCCGCGGUAAUACGGAGGGAGCUAGCGUUGUUCGGAAUUACUGGGCGUAAAGAGUACGUAGGCGGUUAUUCAAGUCAGAGGUGAAAGCCCGGGGCUCAACCCCGGAACUGCCUUUGAAACUAGAUAACUAGAGUCUUGGAGAGGUUAGUGGAAUUCCGAGUGUAGAGGUGAAAUUCGUAGAUAUUCGGAAGAACACCAGUGGNGAGCGACUAC